UACAGAGGGGGCAAGCGUUAUUCGGAAUUAUUGGGGUUAAAGGGUGCGUAGGCGUCCUGGAAAGUUACGGUUGAAAUCUCCUUGCUCAACAAGGAAACUGGCCGUAAAACUAUCAGGAUUGAGUACAUUUGAAGCGGGCGGAAUGUGUCAUGUAGCGGUGAAAUGCUUAGAUAUGACACAGAACACCAAUUGCGAAGGCAGCUCGCUAAACUGUAACUGACGCUGAGGCACGAAAGCGUGGGGAUCAAACAGG
rnacentral:rRNA from 1 species